CUAUAGAACGCGCUAACUUUUUCAGUGGCAGAUGUUGAGUUUGAUGCCAGCAACGACGACCAUCUGGAGUGGGUAGCGAAGGAAGCAGUUUGCAGGGGGAAUUCCUUUAACCUCAAAGUAGAGCUAACGAGGCUCGCCUCUUUUAUAUAUGACGCACAUGUUUUUCAAGGGAAUCGAUCACCGAUUGGCCCAGGUGGUCCUCAGAAACACCAUACCAGCCGUCGCUGCCACCAACGCUGCAAUAUCAGGCAUCUGUGCCCUCGAAGCUUUCAAGCUGGUGACCGGCGCCUACGAGCCGCUGUCUUCCCAGCUUAUGUUCAACGGGACGGACGGCAUCUACAUGCACGUCUACAGGACCAAUCGAAUGCCAGAUUGUGAAGUUUGCGGAAACUUGCCUGUCCUCUUUGAGUGUUCCCCGGACAUGACCCUUCGUGAACUCCGCGAGUUACUGGCAACAGAUCAGAGAACGCAUGUACUUAUUAAUAACCCGAGGGGCUUCGAUUAGCCAUCCAUUGGAUAGGAAAUGGGAGGACCCUCAGCUUACCUACGAAGGAAAGUACCUGUACUACCGGAAAGGGCUCUUAAACUUCACGGAAAAUGCACAGAAAAAGCUAAGCGCGCUGCUGAGGAGCCCUGCAGUCAUUGUGGUCCACACGCGCAGUGAAGAGCACUACGCCAGAAUAGAAUUCGUAUAACGCUGGUCGGAAUUCACAUGGCCAGCAGCCUUUCAUUUAUGUGGGCAACGUACAUAUUAAAGCCGCACUGCUCCUCUUCAGCCGUUCUUAAAAUUUCCUUCAAUAUUAU